GAUGAACGCUGGCGGCGUGCCUAAUACAUGCAAGUCGAGCGAACAGACGAGGAGCUUGCUCCUCUGACGUUAGCGGCGGACGGGUGAGUAACACGUGGAUAACCUACCUAUAAGACUGGGAUAACUUCGGGAAACCGGAGCUAAUACCGGAUAAUAUAUUGAACCGCAUGGUUCAAUAGUGAAAGACGGUUUUGCUGUCACUUAUAGAUGGAUCCGCGCCGCAUUAGCUAGUUGGUAAGGUAACGGCUUACCAAGGCAACGAUGCGUAGCCGACCUGAGAGGGUGAUCGGCCACACUGGAGCUAAGACACGGUCCAGACUCCUACGGGAGGCAGCAGUAGGGAAUCUUCCGCAAUGGGCGAAAGCCUGACGGAGCAACGCCGCGUGAGUGAUGAAGGUCUUCGGAUCGUAAAACUCUGUUAUUAGGGAAGAACAAAUGUGUAAGUAACGAUGCACGUCUUGACGGUACCUAAUCAGAAAGCCACGGCUAACUACGU
rnacentral:rRNA from 1 species